GACGAACGCUGGCGGCGUGCUUAACACAUGCAAGUCGAACGAAGUGGCGAACGGGUGAGUAAUACGUGGGUAACCUGCCCUCCUUUUUGGGAUAAGCCUUGGAAACGGGGUCUAAUACCGACUAAAGGGGGAUGGGCUCGCGGCCUAUCAGCUUGUUGGUGGGGUGAUGGCCUACCAAGGCGGUGACGGGUAGCCGGCGUGAGCGGGGGCCCGACGACGUUGGGGCUGAUAAACAGCCCAGUCUCCUGCGGGAGGGAGCAGGGGGCGAUAUUGCAGAAUGGGCGAAAGACUGAUGAGGCGACGCAGCAUGGGGGAUGGGGGCGUUCGGGGUGUAAACCUCUUUCGGCAGGGAACGGGUAGGUGGACAAGAAGCGUGGACUGACUACGUGCCAGCAGCCGCGGUAAUAC
rnacentral:rRNA from 1 species